UUCACAGGGAUUAAAAUCAGAAAGAUGUGCGACUUAAUCUGAUUGAUUCUGCAAAACGAUUAGGUAUUAAAAUUAUUAGUUUUUUUUUGUUUGUUUGUAAUCUGAUCGUUUGUCAUCUUAUUGUGAAAUCUUCCAGUCUCUCAAUUUAUUGUGACACUCUUCGGUGAAACCCUUCUCCUUCAUCCUUCGUGAUUCAGCAAAUUCGAUCAUCUUUCUCAAAAGAAAAAUAUCACGUCCUGGAGUGGGUUUUUGGGAGACAACAGGGGAUAAAUAAACGGACGUCCAUUCUGUCCAAGUACCUCCUUUCUAUCGUAAUGUCAUGUUCUCAGCUAACAGCAUUCGAGCUACCAAAACGGUGGAGGUAAAGAUCCCGUCCUUCUAUGGAGCCUGAAAACGAGAUUGGUGUAAGCAGGAGUUGCCACAUUCAAGUUAAAGAAGACACUAAUCUAUCCACCAGUUGUUUCUACUAAAGCUUUUUUUUCAAUGGUUAUUUUUCAUAUUCAUGGUAGUUUUGAUGUUAUAUCCUACGAACAGUAGCAUCAUGUUCUUGACAAAAGUCGGUGAUGGACACGUCGCCUAUUUAGAAAACUAAAUGUCUUCGUAGACAGGAUGGUGGUGCGUCUACUUCAAAAAUGACUUCGACAGGCUGGUGCUGCAGCACAGGCAUAAGAAGAACGAGAACGGCUGCAAGUAAAAUUUGAAGAGGGAAGAAAGCUUCUUCAAAGCAACACUCUCAAGUCGGUUUUCGUGUAUAUUCUAAAAUGGAAUCUCCUAAGAUAAACGUUUGUAAGACAAGUGAUGAUGGUUAUAUAUGCAUCUCAGCAUACUGUUCUACUAAUUGUAAUGCGGAAAGGUUUAUAUUCUACCAUCGUGCUCCGUCCUAGGCUACUAUGGAUUCUUAUAUUGUGAUUUAUGUUCUUAGUUUGGGUU